rnacentral:rRNA from 1 species
CCAAUAGCGUAUAUUAAAGUUGUUGCAGUUAAAAAGCUCGUAGUUGAAUUUCGGGAUCAAUAUGUCGGUCGUGCCUUCGGUACGUACUGGCAUCAUUGGUUUCUCCCUUCUGACAAACCAUGAUGUCAUUAAUUUGGUGUUAUGGGGAGUUAGGACUGUUACUUUGAAAAAAUUAGAGUGUUUAAAGCAGGCAUUAGCUUGAAUACAUUAGCAUGGAAUAAUGAAAUAGGACGUUUGACCCUAUUUUGUUGGUUUCUAGGAUCGACGUAAUGAUUAAUAGGGAUAGUUGGGGGGAUUAGUAUUCAAUUGUCAGAGGUGAAAUUCUUGGAUUUAUUGAAGACUAACUACUGCGAAAGCAUUUGCCAAGGAUGUUUUCAUUAAUCAAGAACGAAAGUUAGGGGAUCGAAGACGAUCAGAUACCGUCGUAGUCUUAACCAUAAACUAUGCCGACUAGGGAUCGGAUGAUGUUAAUUUUUUAAUGACUCAUUCGGCGCCUUACG